GAAAGAUAAAAUGUUGCCUAUAACAGUACAUAUUUAAUCAGACAGAAGUGUCUUCACGGCGACGAAGAGUGUCUUCCGGCAAUUGCAUACUCCAACGCAAACAAAAAAUGAAAAUAAAGCAAAUGUCAUUCCCGUUAAAUAAUACGUGAAUGUCAUUCCCGUUGAAUGCUAAUUAAAGUAGAGAAGCCUCAAAAUCCGAUGAGUCAUACGUGAAUGUGGUUCUAGUGUCUCCCCAAAUGGCU